CCUACGGGCGGCAGCAGUGGGGGAUAUUGCACAAUGGGGGGAACCCUGAUGCAGCGACGCCGCGUGGGUGAAGGAGCGUUUCGGCGCGUAAAGCCCUAUCGGCAGGGAAGAAGAUGACGGUACCUGAUCAAGAAGCCCCGGCUAACUACGUGCCAGCAGCCGCGGUAAUACGUAGGGGGCAAGCGUUAUCCGGAUUUACUGGGUGUAAAGGGGGCGCAGACGGCAAUGCAAGCCUGAAGUGAAAGGCCGGGGCGGAACCCCGGGACUGCUCUGGAAACUGCACGGCUGGAGUGCAGGAGGGGGAAGCGGAAUUCCUAGUGUAGCGGUGAAAUGCGUAGAUAUUAGGAGGAACACCAGUGGCGAAGGCGGCCUACUGGACUGUGACUGACGUUGAGGCCCGAAGGCGUGGGGAGCAAACAGGAUUAGAUGCCCUUGUAGUC
rnacentral:rRNA from 1 species